UUUUCAUUGUGCUCCGUGGAGUAGAACGGGAAACAGGGAAUUACGGUGUAGUGUCUUCAAGUUCUGGUUCACAAGUACCUCCGUGACAGUACAAGGAGAGCUGUCAAUAAGGAAUGGAGGCUAAUAACGAAGGAGUCAGUGAAGGAGACCAAUGCCAUGAGGGUUAUCUUGCAGCCCCAGAUGCUGGAUAAGUUGAAGGAGGCAGACUCGCUUUUGGAUGACAUUCAGGAAGGCCUUGAAUGAUUAUUUGGCGAAGAAAAGGCUAUUCUUUCCAAGGUUUUUGUCUUGAUGCAACAAAGAUCGCUCAGGAAUCCUUUUUGACACAAAGGAUCCACUCCACGUCCAACCACACCUAAAGAAAUGCUUUGAAGGAGUUGCCAAGCUCACUUUUAAUC
rnacentral:lncRNA from 1 species